rnacentral:sRNA from 1 species
ACCGACAAGCAAUGGAUCAUGUUCGAAUUGCCAGACCCUGAAUCAAGAAUGCAAGUGGGUAUAUAUCAAUGAUUCUGCAAGGUGCGCUAGAGCUGAUCACGUAGGCCACACAUUCGAAAGAGACGACGAAAAGCGGAGUCCUGACAUUGGAAUCUUGGGUUAAACUUUUAUAUGUUCUUGGCACUGUUUUGCUUUCGCAAGCAUUACGUCCGGCACAAUAUGUGAUGGAGGUGGAAGGUUGGUCGAUUGUAACUAUCUAGCGGGCGCAGCACUGCUUAAAUAGGUGUGGUUACGUGGCAUUCUAGCGAGCCAUAGGGAUGCCAACACUAUGUCCAUUUUAUCCCAAUUGCAGAAAACAACAGCGACAGCUAACUGGUUUCUUACCCCUAUAAACUGUACAUCUGCUGUCGCAGGAAGGUAGUGAAAGGGCGGUUAAGUUGAAAUACAGUGUGUGCGGCCCGG